rnacentral:lncRNA from 1 species
CAAUGACUUUGCAUUACUUAAAUGAUUCCCUGCUCCACCAAAUCUCCUAGGAAAGAAAGAGUUGUAGUACUGAAACUCCACAGUAAGUCUUUGGGAGCUUAGCUGUGGCUUUACACAGAGAGUUUCAAAGAGUUGUAGCUCAAAAGAAAUGGAGGUCAUAUGACAAUAUUAAUGUCCUGCACAGAUUAGCUUUGACAAUGAUAGCUACAUUCAUCUUUUCUUUUACCUGCACAUCUUCUAGAGAAUUCUUAGCUCAAGACAACUUGGUAUAAGAACCUAUGGAAGCUCAUCAGUGAGAGACAGAAAAUAAGCUGGAUUGGAAUAAAAUCUAGGUGGAUAAAUUAACUAAAUGGAAGAUAAGCUCUUCGUGGAAGUAACUCACAGUAUAAUCAUGAUAUUCAGAAGGAUGUGGUGAGGUUGAGCUUUUUCUGAUCCUGUGCUCUCCUACGGCAGGAAACAGCAAGUCCAGACAGUGGAAGCAUUCCGGUUACAAAUGAAACAUCCACAUGGAACAGGAGUGCAGUCAGCAUCACAGGCUCUUGAAUGGAAAAGAUGAAGAGCAAUUGAUAGGCUCCGAGUUUUUAGAACGCCUUUCAACAAGAUAAAAAGCAUAAGGCAUCCCAAGUCGGCU